GACGAACGCUGGCGGCGUGCCUAAUACAUGCAAGUAGAACGCACAGUUUAUACCGUAGCUUGCUACACCAUACACUGUGAGUUGCGAACGGGUGAGUAACGCGUAGGUAACCUGCCUGGUAGCGGGGGAUAACUAUUGGAAACGAUAGCUAAUACCGCAUAAUAUUGAUUAUUGCAUGAUAAUUGAUUGAAAGAUGCUAUUGCAUCACUACCAGAUGGACCUGCGUUGUAUUAGCUAGUAGGUGAGGUAACGGCUCACCUAGGCGACGAUACAUAGCCGACCUGAGAGGGGGAUCGGCCACACUGGGACUGAGACACGGCCCAGACUCCUACGGGAGGCAGCAGGAGGGAAUCUUCGGCAAUGGACGAAAGUCUGACCGAGCAACGCCGCGUGAGUGAAGAAGGUUGUCGGAUCGUAAAGCUCUGUUGUAAGAGAAGAACGGGUGUGAGAGUGGAAGGUUCACACUGUGACGGUAUCUUACCAGAAAGGGACGGCUAACUACGUG
rnacentral:rRNA from 1 species